CAGUCGCCGCGGGAAUACGAAGGGGGCUAGCGUUGUUCGGAUUUACUGGGCGUAAAGGGCGCGUAGGCGGACUGAUAAGUCAGGGGUGAAAUCCCAAGGCUCAACCUUGGAACUGCCUUUGAUACUGUUUGUCUUGAGUUCGAGAGAGGUAAGUGGAACUGCGAGUGUAGAGGUGAAAUUCGUAGAUAUUCGCAAGAACACCAGUGGCGAAGGCGGCUUACUGGCUCGAAACUGACGCUGAGGCGCGAAAGCGUGGGGAGCAAACAGGAUUAGAUACCCCUGUAGUCCCUGUCUCUUAUAC
rnacentral:rRNA from 1 species